rnacentral:rRNA from 1 species
AUUGAACGCUGGCGGCAGGCCUAACACAUGCAAGUCGAACGAGUGGCGGACGGGUGAGUAAUGUCUGGGAAACUGCCCGAUGGAGGGGGAUAACUACUGGAAACGGUAGCUAAUACCGCAUACCAUCGGCAGUGCCCAGAUUGGAUUAGCUAGUAGGUGGGGUAACGGCUCACCUAGGCGACGAUCCCUAGCUGGUCUGAGAGGAUGACCAGACACACAUGAACUGAGACACGGUCCAGACUCCGACGUGAGGCAGCAGUGGGGAAUAUUGCACAAUGGGCGCAAGCCUGAUGAAGCCAUGCCGCGUGUAUGAAGAAGGCCUUCGGGUUGUAAAAUACUUUCAGAGAGGAGGCGUUAAUCGCAGAAGAAGCACCUGCUAACUCCGUGCCAGCAGCCGCGGUAAUAC